rnacentral:misc_RNA from 1 species
UUUUGAGGACGCUGAUUUCGCAGUUGCACGUUUGAAUUAGGACAGGCAUGAGGACACGAGAUUUCUACGUAGUGUAUUGGUUUGCUUUCACUAUUUGAACUCAUUUUAGAAUUUUGCUAAUUAUUACAGUGCCUUUCUCUUGAUUCUUCGUAUUCUGUAUCAUUCUGCUUAAAUACAAAGAUAAUAUUAUAUUUCUGUUGAAUUGAAAUUAUCUAUAAUUUAUUAGAAAUGACUUCUGUAGGUUAUUUGUCUAGCCGUAUUCUAGCACAUCUCUCCACUUGUAGGAAUGUCAAAAACGUUUGUAAAAAUGUUUAUAUCUGCAAAGGAAUAUUGUCUGAUAGUCAAUCACAUUUCCUAAGUUCUAUUGGCCCAGGAAAAUGUUCUUUUAUGACUACAACCAAACCUUUGUGCAGUUCCAAAAAUUCAACUGAAGAAACUUUUGAAGUUACAUUCAUAAGACCGAAUGGGGAGAAGGUAGUUGGAAAAGGAAAGGCAGGAGACACUCUAUUAGAUGUGGUGAACAACAAUGGUCUAGAUUUGGAUGGAUAUGGACAGUGUGACGGAACACUGGCAUGCUCAACGUGUCACGUGAAACUGACACCGACAGAUUUCGACGCGGUUGAGGACGAAGUGUCGUCGCUGGAAAGUGAUCUGUUAGACGACGCCUUCGGUAGGACGCCGACGUAAGUUGCUAGUGACUGAUGCCAAGUUCAUUCAUGACACUUCCUAUAUUUUCAGGCAAAUGCGACGGAAUGAUCACGUGCGGGACUUGUCACGUGUUGUUCCCUGAUAGGCAAGUGUUCAACGCGGCUGAGCCGAUGACUUGUUUUGAGAACUGGCUCUUCUUAGAGCAGAGUCUCGCCCCGUUCACCGAUUUGUCACGCCUCGGAUGUCAAGUUAAGCUGAGUAAGGAACUGGGCAAUUUUGAAGUGAAGCUUCCCAAUUUCACCAAAGACCAACGCGAGUCCUAACGAGUUUAUAGGUAGCUGUAUAUUGUUGAACAAAAAAUAGAAUACGAAUGAUAACGAUACAUGAGCAUUGAACAAUCAUCGAGUUGUAGUAUUGGGACUGAUAUUUUAUACAAUCAAAGUUGUGAAAGUGUGUUGCGGAUGAGUAAUUAGUGUUGUGAAAAUCUCAAAGUUGAGAGGCAUUGGUGCUUGAUAGAUUUACAAGAUUUAUAUUUCUGUUUUAAAGAUAAUAUUGAAUUAUUAGUAAGUAUUUUAAAUAAAGUUGAAUGUGCAUAGCUGUGAAGUUUCUGGCCAUGACUGUAAUCUUCAUCUAUGAAAGAAAGUACUUGUUCUUCCAUGUUUGUUUCCAAAGUGAUAACUCAAUAAAUAAUUAAAAUAUAUAAUUUUUUAAUGCGAAGAAAUAUUUUUGGCGUUUUACAGUGGCAGAAUUAUUUAUUAUGUUACCAGUAAUUUUUCAUUUUAAUGUCCAUUCCAUGUUGAUGAUUGUUGAAAAUUUUACUCAUGUUGAAAGAUUUUUAUUGUUAUUAUUAAGAAUUAAAUUGUUACUAAAGAUCCAUCAUUUAAGAUAAAGAGGAGGCAUUUUAUACAUUGUUAGGCUAAUAGUUACUAGAAAAACAAAUUAUUUACUCUGUUUAAAUUGUUCACCAUUUCACAAUGUUAAAUCUCUAUUUGAAAAUGUUGUAUUCUUAUAAGAAACGUUAUUUAUUUUUAUUAAU